UAAAAGAGGAAUAAUUUGUCUGAUUGCGACCUCGUUAAAAAAGUGCUAAAGCAGUAAU
rnacentral:ncRNA from 1 species